rnacentral:misc_RNA from 1 species
CUUCUUUCAACUUCCUUUGCGUCCUCUCAGCCGCCACAUUCGGACGUCAUCAAAGACGUUCACACCCUCGGGCAUCCCCAAGACACACACGCAGGGGGAAGAGGGAGGGGGGGGCACAGACGCCUGCGCCCACGCCCCUUCUUGCAAUUUUUUUUUGUUUGCCGUGCGAAGGCACCCUUCUUGUGCCUGCGCAUCUCGUACAAGAUGAGCAUUUCCGCCACGGCGCCAGUGGGCAAGUGGGUGAUUGUGCGCUCCGAUCGCCUUGUCCUGUCGGUAGACAAGACCGACCACGUGUACGUUGUUGGACGUGGGCGGCAACUGCCAUCUGCUCAGCUGCUGUCGCACAAGUACGCGUCGCGGGAGCACCUGGCGGUGGUGUGGCACCCCCCUCACCUCUACAUGAUCCAAGAGGGGAAGAACCCCUCCUUUCUGGGUGCAAGUUGCACACCCGUGCCUCGGUUGAAUGACGCCGCUGCCGUCGAGUCAGACGAGAGCGCUCCGUCCUUGUGGCAGCGCGCGCCAGUGAGGUUUAGUGCAACGGCCGCCGCGAAGGAGGCCACAGCGCACCAGAGCGCAGGCGGCAUCAUCACGGUCGACGUUCCUCUGUGUGACCCACUGACGGUCACGCAGGCGCCUGAUCGCCAUGCGAUCGACGCGGCGACCGUGCACUUCCCCGAGGAACUCGCUCUGCCAACGCUGACGGUCCGUUUUGAAGGAACGGAAGUCGCCCGCGAGGAUGCUACAGCGGCAGCGACAACAAGGACAACCGCGGAGAUGCUCGCUGUGCCGUCGGUCAGGGCCCUCGGCGGGGGUGACGAUGAUAACGAUGAGCUUAGUGACGAGGAGAGGAAAGCGAGCCGUCCCUCUAAUGGACGGACCGGGGGCGGCGAAGGCGCGGCGGCGGCCAAUGGGAGUGGGAAGCCGGGGUGGCGUGGGCUGCUGGAUGUGGCGCUUCAACAGCAGCAGCAGCAAGACAUGUCGGACUCAUCACCGGCAGCGCAGGUAAAGGAAGCUCGAUCGGAGUCACAGCGUUCUCUUGGAGCUGUCGCGCCAUCUGCGCAGGCCCCGUUUGGCAGCGCAUCGGAGAAGGCACCUGAACCAGCCUGUGCUGAUCCUGCGCCACACAAGCUGGGGAUUUGGGAGUGGAAGAACCACAUAGAAGGUAAGGGCAGUGACCCCAUGCCGUGGCGCAAGUACAACCUCGCCGUGGCAGCGCUGCUGGAGAAGGCGUAUCAAGACACCUCGCUUGCAAAGAUCAAGAUCCCUGACUCGGCCAUGUUUGGCAAGCCAGAUGCGAAGGGAUACACGUACGGCGUGUGCUUCGCGGAGAAGGCGCUCGACGGGGCGAUGAUCCAGUAUUCCCUAAAGGAGCCCAGCAAGUUCUGCGUGAUCCGUCGCACUGGCGGUCCUCCAGUGGACCGGAAGCGCGCGAAGAAGGCGCACGUCAUUGCGUCGCCGCCAUCGUCAGAAGAUAGCGAGAGCAACAGCGAGGAUAGCUGCAGCGAUGACUCUGAAGCGGAGGAAAGUGCGAUCUCCUCUUCCUUGUCUAUCAACAGCAGCACUAGUAGCGACGGAACGCCCCCAAAGAAGAGGCGGCGUCCCUACUAGGCGCCCGAGCCACGUGCGCAUGUAUGAGCACGCGCCAGCCUCUGUAUAGCGAGCAAGAGACUUCUUGGCGCGCCCUCUCUCCCCCCUUCCCGCUCUCCCACACCACCGGUCACUGGGCGGCGCACAUUUCGCUGUGUUCAACGUGGGUUCUCCGUGGACGUGUGCGUGUGGUUGUGCGUACCCCUUUGCUGACCAGGCAGACGUGUGGUGCGGUGGCUCCCUGUGAUCGAUGUGCGUUGCGUCUGGAUUAAGCUUCCGUUUGUUAGACUGUUGCCGUUAUGCUUUACCGGCGGCUUCUCUUCACCUCCCCCUCCCUUCUGAAGAGGUUCACAGAUGAGGACAAGAAAGCAGCUGGUCAGAGGACACUGGUGGUGGUGGGGAGAUCGUGUAUGGCGUGGAGGCAGGAUAAAGGGCAGCCAACCCGUUCUCCGAACGCGUAGAGGUGGUGGCAGAGACGGCCAUUGCACACCCUCCUCCCCAUGCCGCCUCUUCUACUCGUUUUACUCUACGCGCGCGUAACAUCGGGCGGCCACGUGUAUGCUGACAUGUCUUGUCUGUCCUCCUCGCGUCACGCUUGAGCUUUCCUUGCCCUGUGUCACCUCUUCGUUUCUUUGGCUGGUCAUGGAGGCCAUCGAGCUGGCCAUGCCAACUAAAAGCGUGAAGCACGCCCAUCCUGU